rnacentral:rRNA from 1 species
AGAUUGAACGCUGGCGGCAUGCUUUACACAUGCAAGUCGAACGGCAGCGCGGGGCAACCUGGCGGCGAGUGGCGAACGGGUGAGUAAUAUAUCGGAACGUACCCAAGAGUGGGGGAUAACGUAGCGAAAGUUACGCUAAUACCGCAUACGAUCUAAGGAUGAAAGCAGGGGACCGCAAGGCCUUGUGCUCCUGGAGCGGCCGAUAUCUGAUUAGCUAGUUGGUAGGGUAAAGGCCUACCAAGGCUACGAUCAGUAGCUGGUCUGAGAGGACGACCAGCCACACUGGAACUGAGACACGGUCCAGACUCCGUACGGGAGCAGCAGUGGGAAUUUGGACAAGUGGGCGCAAGCCUGAUCCAGCAUGCCGCGUGAGUAGAAGAAGGUCCUUCGGUUAGUAAGUCGUUAC